GUUUCUUUGGUCGAGUGGUUAAUGCGUGUGCCUGCUACGUGCAUGGGGUUUCCACGCGAGAGUUCAAAUCUCUCAGGCAACG
rfam:Ipomoea nil DNA, scaffold: scaffold1525, cultivar: Tokyo-kokei standard.